UUCACUUCUUGUCCCUCUUCCACCUCCACACAUUUGUGACACAAGGGCUCAGAUUUCCACCUAAAAAAAAGACACUUUAAACCACCGUACACGGCGUUCUCCGCCGUUCAUUUCACCGGAAACCAACCAAAAUUUGAAAAAAAAAGGCUUAUGAUGUUGCGUGACGUGUCAUCUUGCAAUACAUACAAUUACGGUGAUGCCCUUUACUGGGAUUCACGGUAUGUUCAAGAAGCAGGUUCUUUUGAUUGGUAUCAACGUUAUUCUGCUCUUCGCCCGUUUGUUCGCCAUUAUGUUUCUACAUCUUCAAGGGUACUCAUGGUUGGCUGUGGAAAUGCUGUGAUGUCGGAGGAUAUGGUUAAGGAUGGAUAUGAAGAAAUAGUGAAUGUUGAUAUAUCAACAGUAGCUAUUGAUAUGAUGAGAAGGAAGUAUGAGGACGUUCCGCAGAUGAAAUACUUGCAAAUGGAUGUCAGAGAUAUGAGUUUCUUUCCUGAUGAAUCAUUUGACGCCGUCAUUGAUAAGGGAACCCUUGAUUCAUUAAUGUGUGGUACCAAUGCUCCAAUGUGUGCUGCACAAAUGCUGGGGGAAGUGAGCAGGCUUCUCAAAAAUGGAGGUGUUUAUAUGUUGAUAACAUAUGGUGAUCCUAAAGCAAGGAUGCCUCAUCUGAAUCGAUCAGUGUUUAACUGGAAAAUUGAGUUAUACAUUAUACCUAAACCGGGAUUUCAAAAGUCUGGAAAUCCCCCUUCUAAUGUGAAGCCAUGCUUGGAACCUAUUCCCCUAAGCGAGAAGGGACUACUUCCGGAAGAUUAUAUUAUGGAAGAUCCAGAUUCUCAUUUUAUAUACGUCUGUACAAAAGUUGAUGAAUCAGUGGAGCUGAGCAACAAAUCCGCAGAACCUUUGGCUGAGGAUUUACUAUUGGAAUCGCUUAGCCUCGGGAAGGAUUGAUUCUUCAAGUCUCGGGGUUUGAAGUUGGCUGAAACCAUGUAUGCUUACUGAAGGAUAUACUUUUGUUAUCUAGGCUUGUAGUGUAUCUUCUUUUUAUUGGGGUUUCAUAAUUCAAAAAAAGAGACUGUUUUGGG
rnacentral:misc_RNA from 1 species